rnacentral:rRNA from 1 species
GGCCCGAGUUGUAAUUUGUAGAGGAUACUUUUGAUGCGGUGCCUUCCGAGUUCCCUGGAACGGGACGCCAUAGAGGGUGAGAGCCCCGUCUGGUUGGAUGCCAAAUCUCUGUAAAGUUCCUUCAAC